rnacentral:rRNA from 1 species
GAUGAACGCUGGCGGCGUGCCUAAUACAUGCAAGUCGAGCGAACAGACGAGGAGCUUGCUCCUCUGACGUUAGCGGCGGACGGGUGAGUAACACGUGGAUAACCUACCUAUAAGACUGGGAUAACUUCGGGAAUCCGGAGCUAAUACCGGAUAAUAUAUUGAACCGCAUGGUUCAAUAGUGAAAGACGGUUUUGCUGUCACUUAUAGCUGGAUCCGCGCCGCAUUAGCUAGUUGGUAAGGUAACGGCUUACCAAGGCAACGAUGCGUAGCCGACCUGAGAGGGUGAUCGGCCACACUGGAACGUAGACACGGUCCAGACUCCUACGGGAGGCAGCAGUAGGGAAUCUUCCGCAGUGGGCGAAAGCCUGACGGAGCAACGCCGCGUGAGUGAUAAAGGUCUUCGGAUCGUAAAACUCUGUUAUUAGGGAAGAACAAAUGUGUAAGUAACUGUGCACGUCUUGACGGUACCGAAUCAGAAAGCCACGGCUAACUACGUG